rnacentral:rRNA from 1 species
GCAUAUCAAUAAGCGGAGGAAAAGAAACCAACAGGGAUUGCCCCAGUAGCGGCGAGUGAAGCGGCAAGAGCUCAGAUUUGAAAUCGUGUUUCGGCACGAGUUGUAGAGUGUAGGCGGGAGUCUCUGUGGAGCGCGGUGUCCAAGUCCCUUGGAACAGGGUGCCUGAGAGGGUGAGAGCCCCGUAGGGUGCUGCGCGAAGCUUUUGAGGCCCUGCUGACGAGUCGAGUUGUUUGGGAAUGCAGCUCCAAGCGGGUGGUAAAUUCCAUCUAAGGCUAAAUAUUGGCGAGAGACCGAUAGCGAACAAGUACUGUGAAGGAAAGAUGAAAAGCACUUUGAAAAGAGAGUGAAACAGCACGUGAAAUUGUUGAAAGGGAAGGGUAUUGGGCUCGACAUGGGGGGUGCGCACCGCUGUCUCUUGUAGGCGGCGCUCUGGGCGCCCUCUGGGCCAGCAUCGGUUCCUGCUGCGGGAGAAGGGGCUCCGGAAAGUGGCUCUUCGGAGUGUUAUAGCCGGGGCCAGAUGCCGCGUGUGGGGACCGAGGACUGCGGCUUCUUUCUCGGAUGCGGC